rnacentral:rRNA from 1 species
UACGUAGGGCGCAAGCGUUAUCCGGAAUUAUUGGGCGUAAAGAGCUCGUAGGCGGUUUGUCGCGUCUGCCGUGAAAGUCCGGGCUCAACUUCGGGCUUGCGGUCGAUACGGGCGGGCUAGAGUUCGGUAGGGGAGACUGGAAUUCCUGGUGUAGCGGUGAAAUGCGCAGAUAUCAGGAGGAACACCGGUGGUGUAGACGGCUCUCUGGACCAUAACUGACGCUGAGACACGAAAGCGUGGGUAGCAAACAGG